rnacentral:rRNA from 1 species
UUGAACGCUGGCGGCAGGCUUAACACAUGCAAGUCGAGCGGAUGAAGGUAGCUUGCUACCGGAUUCAGCGGCGGACGGGUGAGUAAUGCUUAGGAAUCUGCCUAUUAGUGGGGGACAACGUUCCGAAAGGAGCGCUAAUACCGCAUACGUCCUACGGGAGAAAGCAGGGGACCUUCGGGCCUUGCGCUAAUAGAUGAGCCUAAGUCGGAUUAGCUAGUUGGUAGGGUAAAGGCCUACCAAGGCGACGAUCUGUAGCGGGUCUGAGAGGAUGAUCCGCCACACUGGGACUGAGACACGGCCCAGACUCCUACGGGAGGCAGCAGUGGGGAAUAUUGGACAAUGGGGGGAACCCUGAUCCAGCCAUGCCGCGUGUGUGAAGAAGGCCUUUUGGUUGUAAAGCACUUUAAGCGAGGAGGAGGCUACCUAGGUUAAUACUUUAGGAUAGUGGACGUUACUCGCAGAAUAAGCACCGGCUAACUCUGUGCCAGCAGCCGCGGUAAUACAGAGGGUGCGAGCGUUAAUCGGAUUUACUGGGCGUAAAGCGUGCGUAGGCGGCCAAUUAAGUCAAAUGUGAAAUCCCCGAGCUUAACUUGGGAAUUGCAUUCGAUACUGGUUGGCUAGAGUAUGGGAGAGGAUGGUAGAAUUCCAGGUGUAGCGGUGAAAUGCGUAGAGAUCUGGAGGAAUACCGAUGGCGAAAGCAGCCAUCUGGCCUAAUACUGACGCUGAGGUACGAAAGCAUGGGGAGCAAACAGGAUUAGAUACCCUGGUAGUCCAUGCCGUAAACGAUGUCUACUAGCCGUUGGGG